rnacentral:rRNA from 1 species
GACGUAGGGGGCAAGCGUUAUUCGGAAUUACUGGGCGUAAAGCGCACGUAGGCGGCUUUGUAAGUUAGAGGUGAAAGCCCAGGGCUUAACCCUGGAAUUGCCUUUAAGACUGCAUCGCUAGAAUCGUGGAGAGGUGAGUGGAAUUCCGAGUGUAGAGGUGAAAUUCGUAGAUAUUCGGAAGAACACCAGUGGCGAAGGCGACUCACUGGACACGUAUUGACGCUGAGGUGCGAAAGCGUGGGGAGCAAACAGG